rnacentral:rRNA from 1 species
AUGUCGCGCGUCAAGGCCCUGCAGGUGGCGCAGACGUGCGUGCUGUCCACGAGGUGGAGGCACCUCUGGCGCGCCGUGUCGUGCCUCGACGUCGACGAGCAGGAGUUCGGCACCCACAACAACUUCGAGAACUUCACAACCAACCUUCUAGGCAGCCAUGACGUCGCGUUUCUGGACGCCUUUCGGCUGCACGCAACCUCGGCUGCUCUCGGGUGGUAUCAGCGUCGAGACCUCACUCACCGCUGGGUCCGCCGCGCCAUGGGUCUAGAUGAUGCAAGCCCUUGCCGGCUCAGAAGGCUGCAUCUUUCCGGCCUGAAUUUGAACCUGGAAGAUAUUGCGAGUCACGUCAGCUCUGGAGGUCUUGGAACUGGAAAACUGCAACUACUAUAUCACCUGCAAUAUUAA